rnacentral:rRNA from 1 species
GAUGAACGCUAGCGGCAGGCUUAACACAUGCAAGUCGAGGGGUAUAGUUCUUCGGAGCUAGAGACCGGCGCACGGGUGCGUAACGCGUAUGCAAUCUACCUUUUACAGAGGGAUAGCCCAGAGAAAUUUGGAUUAAUACCUCAUAGUAUAGCUGUACCGCAUGGUACUACUAUUAAAGUUACAACGGUAAAAGAUGAGCAUGCGUCCCAUUAGCUAGUUGGUAAGGUAACGGCUUACCAAGGCUACGAUGGGUAGGGUCCUGAGAGGGAGAUCCCCCANACUGGUACUGAGACACGGACCAGACUCCUACGGGAGGCAGCAGUGAGGAAUAUUGGACAAUGGGCGCAAGCCUGAUCCAGCCAUGCCGCGUGCAGGAUGACGGUCC